UUUGUACACACCGCCCGUCACACCAUGGGAGUCGGAAACACCCGAAGCCGAUUAUCCAACCGCAAGGAGGAAGUCGUCGAAGGUGGCGUCGAUAACUGGGGUGAAGUCGUAACAAGGUAGCCGUAUCGGAAGGUGCGGCUGGAUCACCUCCUUUCUAAGGAGAAUUACCUGCUGUUCGAUUUUGAAAGUUCAUACUUUCAAAAUUUGUACCUUGAAAACUGGAUAAUUUAGUGAUUACAAAAGACAUCUAUCAAGUUGAACUUGAUAAAAUAUAUGAGAGAAAACUCAUUAAAAAACACCAAUUAUUCUUUUAACACUGGUCAAAAGACCAAAAUUAGAAAAAUCUCAUUAAUAACUGGUCAAGUUAUUAAGGG
rnacentral:misc_RNA from 1 species